rnacentral:rRNA from 1 species
AGGGAAUAUUGCAAAAUGGGCGAAAGCCCGAUGCAGCAACGCCGCGUGGGCGAUGAAGGCCUUCGGGUCGUAAAGCCCUUUUUGAGGGGAUGAGGAAGGACAGUACCCUCAGAAUAAGCCUCGGCUAACUACGUGCCAGCAGCCGCGGUAAAACGUAGGAGGCGAGCGUUAUCCGGAUUUACUGGGCGUAAAGCGCGUGCAGGCGGAUUGGAGAGUUGGAUGUGGAAGCUCCCGGCUUAACUGGGAGAGGUCGUUCAAUACUUCCAGUCUUGAGUGCAGUAGAGGGAAGUGGAAUUCCGGGUGUAGUGGUGAAAUGCGUAGAUAUCCGGAGGAACACCAGUGGCGAAAGCGGCUUCCUGGACUGUAACUGACGCUCAGACGCGAAAGCUAGGGUAGCAAACG